GGGACACGUGGUAUCCUGUCUGAAUAUGGGGGGACCAUCCUCCAAGGCUAAAUACUCCUGACUGACCGAUAGUGAACCAGUACCGUGAGGGAAAGGCGAAAAGAACCCCGGCGAGGGGAGUGAAAAAGAACCUGAAACCGUGUACGUACAAGCAGUGGGAGCCUCUUAAUGGGGUGACUGCGUACCUUUUGUAUAAUGGGUCAGCGACUUAUAUUCUGUAGCAAGGUUAACCGAAUAGGGGAGCCGAAGGGAAACCGAGUCUUAACUGGGCGUUAAGUUGCAGGGUAUAGACCCGAAACCCGGUGAUCUAGCCAUGGGCAGGUUGAAGGUUGGGUAACACUAACUGGAGGACCGAACCGACUAAUGUUGAAAAAUUAGCGGAUGACUUGUGGCUGGGGGUGAAAGGCCAAUCAAACCGGGAGAUAGCUGGUUCUCCCCGAAAGCUAUUUAGGUAGCGCCUCGUGAAUUCAUCUCCGGGGGUAGAGCACUGUUUCGGCAAGGGGGUCAUCCCGACUUACCAACCCGAUGCAAACUGCGAAUACCGGAGAAUGUUAUCACGGGAGACACACGGCGGGUGCUAACGUCCGUCGUGAAGAGGGAAACAACCCAGACCGCCAGCUAAGGUCCCAAAGUCAUGGUUAAGUGGGAAACGAUGUGGGAAGGCCCAGACAGCCAGGAUGUUGGCUUAGAAGCAGCCAUCAUUUAAAGAAAGCGUAAUAGCUCACUGGUCGAGUCGGCCUGCGCGGAAGAUGUAACGGGGCUAAACCAUGCACCGAAGCUGCGGCAGCGACACUAUGUGUUGUUGGGUAGGGGAGCGUUCUGUAAGCCUGUGAAGGUGGCCUGUGAGGGUUGCUGGAGGUAUCAGAAGUGCGAAUGCUGACAUAAGUAACGAUAAAGCGGGUGAAAAGCCCGCUCGCCGGAAGACCAAGGGUUCCUGUCCAACGUUAAUCGGGGCAGGGUGAGUCGACCCCUAAGGCGAGGCCGAAAGGCGUAGUCGAUGGGAAACAGGUUAAUAUUCCUGUACUUGGUGUUACUGCGAAGGGGGGACGGAGAAGGCUAUGUUGGCCGGGCGACGGUUGUCCCGGUUUAAGCGUGUAGGCUGGUUUUCCAGGCAAAUCCGGAAAACCAAGGCUGAGGCGUGAUGACGAGGCACUACGGUGCUGAAGCGACAAAUGCCCUGCUUCCAGGAAAAGCCUCUAAGCAUCAGGUAACAUCAAAUCGUACCCCAAACCGACACAGGUGGUCAGGUAGAGAAUACCAAGGCGCUUGAGAGAACUCGGGUGAAGGAACUAGGCAAAAUGGUGCCGUAACUUCGGGAGAAGGCACGCUGAUAUGUAGGUGAA
rnacentral:rRNA from 1 species